rnacentral:sRNA from 1 species
UAAGCUGCGCUCGUCUCUAGGCAGGGGAGCUCCGUGUCGCACCGGGUUCUUGGGCCGGCCGUGUCCUCCUCCCUCGGUCGCCACUGGCCCAUGAGUCCCCAUGGCGACGGCAGGGGCCAGGCCCGGGGGCGGGCAGUCCGAGUGGGGCUGCGGCGCUCCGGAGGCAUCCGCGGCGGCGUGGCGGUGUUCGCCGCCGUGGCCGCAGUGUUCACCUUCACCCUGCCCCCUUCGGUACCGGGGGGAGACUCCGGGGAACUGAUCACAGCUGCACAUGAGCUUGGAGUUGCCCAUCCUCCUGGAUAUCCUUUGUUCACGCUGGUGGCUAAACUGGCAAUUACACUGUUUCCUUUUGGUUCAAUUGCCUACCGCGUCAAUCUUCUUUGUGGCUUAUUUGGAGCAGUAGCUGCAUCAUUACUUUUUUUCACCGUUUUCAGGCUUUCUGGCUCAUCUGCUGGAGGAAUCCUUGCUGCGGGGGUGUUUUCAUUUUCUCGUCUAACAUGGCAGUGGUCCAUUGCAGCAGAGGUUUUUAGCUUAAACAAUCUCUUUGUGGGGCUGCUUAUGGCUCUUACUGUACAUUUUGAGGAAGCAGCAACUGCUAAGGAGAGAUCAAAGAUAGCUAAAAUUGGUGCUUUCUGCUGUGGCCUUAGUUUAUGUAACCAGCACACAAUAAUACUCUAUGUUUUGUGCAUAAUACCUUGGAUUCUCUUUCAACUUUUAAAAAAGAAGGAACUCUCCCUGGGCUCUUUGUUGAAGUUGAGCCUGUACUUCUCUGCUGGUUUGCUGCCCUAUGUCCACCUUCCCAUCUCAUCUUACCUUAAUCAUGCCCGGUGGACCUGGGGAGACCAGACAACACUGCAAGGAUUUUUGACACAUUUUCUCAGGGAAGAAUAUGGAACCUUCAGCCUGGCCAAAUCUGAAAUAGGAUCCAGUAUGUCUGAAAUACUGCUGUGAGUAUGAAAUAUUUGAAACUAUUUUAAAAUGAAUUCUCUAUUAGUUCCUUUAAGUGAUUUUAGGGAUUUCUGAGUUCAUCUCUUUGUAACAAAGUAUGUCUGAGAAGUAGUUGUUACCUCUACAGUUAACAGUUGUUUGUGUUUACAGUUGUCCCUCAGUAUCCAUGGGGUAUUGGUUACAGGAACUCCUAAGGAUAUAAAAAUCCAUGGGUGCUCAAGUCCUGAUAUGAAAUGGCAUAAUAUUUGUAUAUAACCUAUGUACAACUUCUUGUAUACUUUUAAUCAUCUCUAGAUAACUUAUACCUAGUAUAAUGUAAAUUCUAUGUAAAUAGUUGUUAUGCUGUAUUGUCUAGGGAAUUAUGACAAGAAAAAACAUCUGUAUAUGUUUGUACAGACAGUUUUUUCCCCAACUUUUUUUUUUUUUUGAUUUAAGGUUAAUUGAAUCCAUGGAGGCAGAACCCAUGGAUACAGAGGGCCGACUGUACUGUCAAAUAUUUUUAGCACCUCCUUCAAUAAGAUAGAGCUUAAAAUGAGCAAUAAACACAACAUGAAUAUUAGAAUACUAUAUAGAGCAUUUAUAGAACUAAAAUGUUUCAACCUUCAAUUGAACAACUAUUUUCUUGUUAUUUUGGUUUUUAGUAUUUCAGAGUUUAAUUUAUGUAAUGUCUCCUAUGACUUCUUUAGGCUAUCCUUGCCAUAAGCUCUAUCUUUGGCUUACAUAUUUUUAACAUCCAACCUUAUUAGAGCUGGCUUAAGCAAAUAUAUUUUAAUGUAUAUUAUUUAAUAGUGUUCUUUGAAAACUGGGUUAAUAUUUGCUUUAAAACCUACAGAUUAAGACAAGUGGAAAGAUAUCCAUACCAACUUGAUACAAAAUUUUGGAAGAAAAUAGGUUUCUACAACACUAAAGUGAUGUCCUAACUAAUUACUAAUUUGGAACUCUUGGGGCUGUUUGAAAAAAAACUAUGAGGAGAAUAUUUCAACUUUAUAUGUGAGGCAGUUUAUGAGUUCUCACAGUUUCGGUGUAAUUUACUUACUAGCUUGCUUUCUUCCAGCCAUCCUUCCUUGCUUUCUUUUUAAACAACUUCUUUUUUCUACUUCAAAAAAGGUACAUAAGCUUUAUAGAAAACUUAGAAAAUACAGGUAAGCAAAAAUAAGAAAAUUAAAACUACCUAUAAAUCCAACAUGCAGAGAUAACCACGUUUACUUAUCUGUUAAUGACUAUAUUUUUCUAAUAUUUUUAAGAUUUUUAUUUCUUUUUAAAAGUAGGAUCAUAGUAAACAUACUGUUUUAUUAGCCUGCUGUUUUUCACUUUACAUUAUAUCUUGGAAAUAUCUCCUUGCCAUCAGUUACUUUCACAUAACCUUUUGAUGAUUCUCACCAUUGAUUUUAAAUAUUUCUUUUUAUGUGUGAGACUUUUGUGGCUUUCUCAUUUUCGCUGGGGGAAUGUAACAAGAAGCUCAGUUUUCUUUUCAAAAAUAAAAAUGGCACUGAGUGCGGUGGCUAAUGCCUGUAAUCCCAGCAUUUUGGGAAGCCAAAGUGGGAGGAUCGCUUGAGCCCAGGAGUUUGAGACCAGCCUGGGCAACGUAGUGAGACCUUGUCUCUGAAAAAAAAAAAAAAAA